GAAUUGACGGGGACCCGCACAAGCGGUGGAGCAUGUGGUUUAAUUCGAAGCAACGCGAAGAACCUUACCAAAUCUUGACAUCCUCUGACCCCUCUAGAGAUAGAGUUUUCCCCUUCGGGGGACAGAGUGACAGGUGGUGCAUGGUUGUCGUCAGCUCGUGUCGUGAGAUGUUGGGUUAAGUCCCGCAACGAGCGCAACCCUUAAGCUUAGUUGCCAUCAUUAAGUUGGGCACUCUAAGUUGACUGCCGGUGACAAACCGGAGGAAGGUGGGGAUGACGUCAAAUCAUCAUGCCCCUUAUGAUUUGGGCUACACACGUGCUACAAUGGACAAUACAAAGGGCAGCGAAACCGCGAGGUCAAGCAAAUCCCAUAAAGUUGUUCUCAGUUCGGAUUGUAGUCUGCAACUCGACUAUAUGAAGCUGGAAUCGCUAGUAAUCGUAGAUCAGCAUGCUACGGUGAAUACGUUCCCGGGUCUUGUACACACCGCCCGUCACACCACGAGAGUUUGUAACACCCGAAGCCGGUGGAGUAACCAUUUGGAGCUAGCCGUCGAAGGUGGGACAAAUGAUUGGGGUGAAGUCGUAACAAGGUAGCCGUAUCGGAAGGUGCGGCUGGAUCACCUCCUUU
rnacentral:rRNA from 1 species